rnacentral:rRNA from 1 species
UAGCCAUGCUAGUUGCACGAGUUUAGACUCGUGGCGAAAAGCUCAGUAACACGUGGUCAAACUACCCUACGAAGACCCAUAACCUCGGGAAACUGAGGCUAAUAGGUCAUAGGUGAGUUACGCUGGAAUGCCAACUCUCCCAAACGCUCAGGCGUCGUAGGAUGUGGCUGCGGCCGAUUAGGUAGACGGUGGGGUAACGGCCCACCGUGCCGAUAAUCGGUACGGGUUGUGAGAGCAAGAGCCCGGAGACGGAAUCUGAGACAAGAUUCCGGGCCCUACGGGGCGCAGCAGGCGCGAAACCUUUACACUGCACGCAAGUGCGAUAAGGGGACCCCAAGUGCGAGGGCAUAUAGUCCUCGCUUUUUCCGACCGUAAGGUGGUCGGCGAAUAAGGGCUGGGCAAGACCGGUGCCAGCCGCCGCGGUAAUACCGGCAGCCCAAGUGAUGACCGAUAUUAUUGGGCCUAAAGCGUCCGUAGCCGGCCACGAAGGUUCAUCGGGAAAUCCGCCAGCUCAACUGGCGGGCGUCCGGUGAAAACCACGUGGCUUGGGACCGGAAGGCUCGAGGGGUACGUCCGGGGUAGGAGUGAAAUCCCGUAAUCCUGGACGGACCACCGAUGGCGAAAGCACCUCGAGAAGACGGAUCCGACGGUGAGGGACGAAAGCUAGGGUCUCGAACCGGAUUAGAUACCCGGGUAGUCCUAGCUGUAAACGAUGCUCGCUAGGUGUGGCACAGGCUACGAGCCUGUGCUGUGCCGUAGGGAAGCCGAGAAGCGAGCCGCCUGGGAAGUACGUCCGCAAGGAUGAAACUAAAGGAAUGGCGGGGAGCACUACA